CCUACGGGAGGCAGCAGUGGGGAAUAUUGGGCAAUGGGCGCAAGCCUGACCCAGCAACGCCGCGUGAAGGAAGAAGGCUUUCGGGUUGUAAACUUCUUUUAAGAGGGAAGAGUAGAAGACGGUACCUCUUGAAUAAGCCACGGCUAACUACGUGCCAGCAGCCGCGGUAAUACGUAGGUGGCAAGCGUUGUCCGGAUUUACUGGGUGUAAAGGGCGUGUAGCCGGGCCGGCAAGUCAGAUGUGAAAUCCCAAGGCUCAACCUUGGAACUGCAUGUGAAACUGUUGGUCUUGAGUAUCGGAGAGGCAGGCGGAAUUCCUAGUGUAGCGGUGAAAUGCGUAGAUAUUAGGAGGAACACCAGUGGCGAAGGCAGCAUACCGGCGCUCAACUGACGCUGAGGCACGAAAGCGUGGGGAUCGAACAGGAUUAGAUACCCCAGUAGUC
rnacentral:rRNA from 1 species